AUGCGCACUCACUGAGGCGACACGAGCGCACAAUGGCGGGAAAAUCUGAAUAAUUCCCUCGGAAGAAUGGGCGGUAUUCAAACUGCUUUUCGUUCAACGUGCAUGUAAGGGAAGGAGAAAGCAACUAUUCAGUGGCUUUGAUGGAAAGUGAAGAAACCCACAGAUAUUCAUUGGUAAUGUCAAAACUCUUCUUCCUAUUUAUUCAUCAGUCGUUUGACGCAUGCAGUGUGUAUUUUCAACAUGCAAGCCUGACAAGUGGACUAUUUAUUGUGUAUCUGCUAGCUGAGAGGCCUUGUAGAUAUGUCGACAAAGUCUUCGAUGACCUCAAGCCCAUGAGAACUUGGUGGGAUCAUAUUUGAAGAUCACGACGAUCGACUUCCACGACGACGACUCCAGAUCAUGCCAGUCAAUGAUACCCCGCCGCGGAUCUAGCAGGCCAUGGAUGCCGUGAGAGAUUAUGGAAUUCUCACCACCGUAAUCAUGAUGUGCGAUCAGGAUUUCAUUGCACAAAAAAUAUUAAGUGUCAGCAUUAAAAUGGUUUAGGCCUCUAGAUCACGAUCAUCCAAGCCCCCGAGUAGUGACUCCCUCAAGCCCAUGAGACGCUGGUUGGAUUAAUCAAGUGAUAUUCGAUGAUGACGACGUUUUCGUCGACGACCACGCCCAUGUCAGCAUUUCGGUCAAGAGUGUCCAACGCGGUGGAUCGAGCAGGCCGUGGCGCUCCAUGAGAGAUUAUGGAAUCCUCACUACCGUCAUGAUGAGAAACGAUCAGGGCUUCAAAAAGAUGUAUACGGUAUAAUUGACAUUUUGUGGUAACCAAUAGUGUCUUGGUUGGGUUUUAGGGGCUGGAAACGGAGACACCCCUCCCCCCAAAAAGAGAGUUUUCUUCAAACUUAAAUUGCAAUUGUAUUGUCAUUUCAAUAUAGUUCUAAUCAUAUUGCUUUUCUGGUUUUGACUAUUAUUCUACAUACGAAUUCCUGAAUAAUAUUUCAGUUUAUCACCUGUUUGUUUGUAUAAUAGAAAUGAAAUGGAGAAAGCAGCGUGGAGGUCUGUGACAGUGUCCCUGAAUACCUGCUGGAAAGUGUAGCGACAGAGCGAAAUGAAACAUAUUUCAAAAAGUAAAAAUUCUUAUUAGAAUUUGAACUAAAAUACGAAUUAAAAAAGAAAAGAAGAAGCCAGAUUAAUUAUAUAACCACAUUGAUUUAUGGUUUACAUAUGCUAAUGAUACUCUUUUUUACGACAUGUAAAAACAUCUACCUCGCUAUUAUUCAUUGCUCUACCCCAUACCCUCCUCUCCAGCAUUUAUAGGUCCUAUCCUAUGUAUUGAUAUGAUUAUACAUUGUUGUUUUUUUUUCAGUUUGUAAUUCAGGGUACAGCUCUCCUAUUUUGCAAAGGUUUUUUUUUUCAUUUAAAGCCUUUCAAGAGCCUUAGAAAAAACAGGAAAAUAUGUGAUGAAACACCUGGGAAUUACGGAUCAUUUUCUUGUCAUCUCUUUUACAAGCAUUGCCUAGACUCACAUCAAACUAAAACCCUUAAACAGAGGGAUGAUUUCUUUUUGGUUACUUUGACAUGAAAAGUGAAACUGAUAUUAAGCAUUCAUUAUUCCUCUUCACAACGAAGUACCAUAAUGUUGUGCUAUAAUGGAAUGUGUAUUUACUUUGAAAACUGAGCAAAGUCAGAAGUAAAGGUUUU